ACACACGAGGGAAACUUCCUGCCUAGAAGCCAAUCAGGAGCCCUCCGCGCGGCAUAGGCGCAGGCUGUAAGCACCGUUUCCGGCUUAGGAUCAGGGUCUGGUUAAGGGGCCGUAGGCACCAUGUCGGGCCGCGAAGGUGGCAAAAAGAAGCCCUUGAAACAGCCCAAGAAGCAGGCCAAGGAGAUGGACGAGGAAGAUAAGGCUUUCAAGCAGAAACAGAAAGAGGAGCAGAAGAAACUCGAGGAGCUAAAAGCCAAGGCCGCGGGGAAGGGCCCCCUGGCCACAGGCGGAAUUAAGAAAUCCGGCAAAAAGUAAGCUGUUCCUCAUCUGAGGUGAUGGUGACCCUCUUCCAUUCCUACUUAAACAUCUGGAUUCCCUG